UGUCAUAUAAGUAAUAAGGGGAAAUACGGUUGCCAUACCCCACUGUUUUAUAUUCUUAAUAUCAAAUUUAAUUUUUUUUAAAAAAUAUUUUAGAAAAGGGAUAGAAAUCUAGUUGGAGACCCAAGCGUUUUAUAUACUCACUACUCAACGACUUCCACAAAUCGGAUUCAUAGACCUAACCCUCAAUUCUCUCUACUUUCAUCAAUUUCACCCUUUAAAAACCUAAUCUAACCCCUUUCUCUUUAACCGCCUCCUUCACACCUCCUCUAAUUAUUCAUUUUUGUCUUCUCUAAUUCUCCCUCUCUCAUCUUUCUACUUCAAUUUUGUAUUUGAAAUUUACGGGUGUAUGUUGUGUAUUUACCUGUAUUAAUUUUCUAUGGAGUCUUAUGUUUAAUUGAUUGAAGAUCUGAAUCAAUUAGUUUGAAUCUUGGUAAAUACAUAGCAUAUUCAUGAUUCGGAUGGUUAUGUGUUUAUACUGAACAAGAUUUUGUUUUUCAAUUCGGUUUGUCUAUUUUAUAAAGCUCCAUCUAAUUCAUCUUAGAUUCCCCAUAGCCGGAUGAUCGAGGCCUUGUUUUCUCUGUCAAAUAAUCAGAACUGCAGAAGUGAUAAAGAGCUGAAGAUUCAAGACUUGGAUUUGAGAUAAGAGAGAAGUGCUCGAUCGUCUUUUUUUUUUGGGGGGUUUUCAUCAUGUAAUUGAGUUUUGAUGUUAUAUGUAGUUGCUAAUUGUAAGAUCUUGUAGUUCAUUUUUUUUGUAAACAAAGUUAUAGUUGGAUGCAAUUGGAAUAUAAUGAUAUGUUUGUUGUUACCUUA